UAUAUGUCACUAUAAUGUGGUUGGCGAACCGUGUUAGGUUGGAAACAAAGCGGCACUAAGCUAUAAAUCACAUGUAUAGUGGCAUUAUUUA
rnacentral:SRP_RNA from 1 species